ensembl:misc_RNA Metazoa_SRP Metazoan signal recognition particle RNA
GCCGGGCGAGGUGGCGGGUGCCUGUAGUCCCAGCUACUCGGGAGGCUGAGGCAGGAGAAUGGCGUGAACCCGGGAAGCAGAGCUUGCAGUGAGCUGAGAUCCGGUGCACUCCAGCCUGGACGACAGAGCGAGACUCUGUCUCCCACUGUCGCCCAAGCUGGAGUGCAAUGGCGUGAUCUCGGCUCACUGCAGCCUCUGCCUCCCAGGUUCAAGCGAUUCUCCUGCCUCAG